GUUGUAUGGUUAAGUGACUAAGCGUACACGGUGGAUGCCUUGGCAGUCAGAGGCGAUGAAAGACGUAGUAACUUGCGAUAAGCCCAGAUUAGGUAGUAACAACCAUUUGAGUCUGGGAUUUCUGAAUGGGGAAACCCACGUGCAUAAGCACGUAUCCUUACCUGAAUACAUAGGGUAAGGAGGCGAACCGGGGGAACUGAAACAUCUAAGUACCCCGAGGAAAAGAAAUCAACCGAGAUUCCGAAAGUAGCGGCGAGCGAAAUUGGACUAGCCCUUAAGCUUUACACGCGUUAGACGAACGGUCUGGAAAGUCCGGCGAUACAGGGUGAUAGUCCCGUAGUUGACGACGUGUGUUCAGUGAAAUCGAGUAGGGCGGGACACGUGAUAUCCUGUCUGAAUAUGGGGGGACCAUCCUCCAAGGCUAAAUACUACUGACUGACCGAUAGUGAACCAGUACCGUGAGGGAAAGGCGAAAAGAACCCCUGUGAGGGGAGUGAAAUAGAACCUGAAACCGUGUACGUACAAGCAGUAGGAGCAGGCUUGUCCUGUGACUGCGUACCUUUUGUAUAAUGGGUCAGCGACUUAUAUUCAGUGGCAAGGUUAACCAUCUAGGGGAGCCGUAGGGAAACCGAGUCUUAACUGGGCGUUCAGUCUCUGGAUAUAGACCCGAAACCAGGUGAUCUAGCCAUGGGCAGGUUGAAGGUUGAGUAACAUCAACUGGAGGACCGAACCGACUAAUGUUGAAAAAUUAGCGGAUGACUUGUGGCUAGGGGUGAAAGGCCAAUCAAACCUGGAGAUAGCUGGUUCUCCCCGAAAGCUAUUUAGGUAGCGCCUCGGACGAAUACUACUGGGGGUAGAGCACUGUUAAGGCUAGGGGGUCAUCCCGACUUACCAACCCUUUGCAAACUCCGAAUACCAGUAAGUACUAUCCGGGAGACACACGGCGGGUGCUAACGUCCGUCGUGGAGAGGGAAACAACCCAGACCGCCAGCUAAGGUCCCAAAUUACUACUAAGUGGGAAACGAUGUGGGAAGGCUCAGACAGCCAGGAUGUUGGCUUAGAAGCAGCCAUCAUUUAAAGAAAGCGUAAUAGCUCACUGGUCGAGUCGGCCUGCGCGGAAGAUGUAACGGGGCUAAGUAGUAAACCGAAGCUGCGGCAAUAUACUUUUGUAUAUUGGGUAGGGGAGCGUUCUGUAAGCGGUUGAAGGUGUGUGGUAACGCAUGCUGGACGUAUCAGAAGUGCGAAUGCUGACAUGAGUAACGAUAAAGGGGGUGAAAAACCUCCUCGCCGGAAGACCAAGGGUUCCUGUCCAACGUUAAUCGGGGCAGGGUAAGUCGACCCCUAAGGCGAGGCCGAAAGGCGUAGUCGAUGGGAAACGGGUUAAUAUUCCCGUACUUCUUACAAUUGCGAUGGGGGGACGGAGAAGGCUAGGUGGGCCUGGCGACGGUUGUCCAGGUUCAAGUGCGUAGGCUGAGAGAUUAGGUAAAUCCGGUUUCUCUUAAGGCUGAGACACGACGUCGAGCACCUACGGGUGUGAAGUCAUUGAUGCCAUGCUUCCAGGAAAAGCCUCUAAGCUUCAGAUUGUAAGGAAUCGUACCCCAAACCGACACAGGUGGUCGGGUAGAGAAUACCAAGGCGCUUGAGAGAACUCGGGUGAAGGAACUAGGCAAAAUGGUACCGUAACUUCGGGAGAAGGUACGCUCUCGACGGUGAAGUCCCUCGCGGAUGGAGCUAUUGAGAGUCGCAGAUACCAGGUGGCUGCAACUGUUUAUUAAAAACACAGCACUGUGCAAAAUCGUAAGAUGACGUAUACGGUGUGACGCCUGCCCGGUGCCGGAAGGUUAAUUGAUGGGGUUAGACUUCGGUCGAAGCUCUUGAUCGAAGCCCCGGUAAACGGCGGCCGUAACUAUAACGGUCCUAAGGUAGCGAAAUUCCUUGUCGGGUAAGUUCCGACCUGCACGAAUGGCGUAAUGAUGGCCACGCUGUCUCCACCCGAGACUCAGUGAAAUUGAAAUCGCUGUGAAGAUGCAGUGUACCCGCGGCUAGACGGAAAGACCCCGUGAACCUUUACUACAGCUUGGCACUGAACAUUGACCCUACAUGUGUAGGAUAGGUGGGAGGCUUUGAAGCAUGUACGCCAGUAUGUGUGGAGCCGUCCUUGAAAUACCACCCUUGUAGUGUUGAUGUUCUAACGUCGACCCCUUAUCGGGGUUGCGGACAGUGCCUGGUGGGUAGUUUGACUGGGGCGGUCUCCUCCCAAAGAGUAACGGAGGAGCACGAAGGUGGGCUAAUCACGGUUGGACAUCGUGAGGUUAGUGCAAUGGCAUAAGCCCGCUUGACUGCGAGAAUGACAAUUCGAGCAGGUGCGAAAGCAGGUCAUAGUGAUCCGGUGGUUCUGAAUGGAAGGGCCAUCGCUCAACGGAUAAAAGGUACUCCGGGGAUAACAGGCUGAUACCGCCCAAGAGUUCAUAUCGACGGCGGUGUUUGGCACCUCGAUGUCGGCUCAUCACAUCCUGGGGCUGAAGUCGGUCCCAAGGGUAUGGCUGUUCGCCAUUUAAAGUGGUACGCGAGCUGGGUUUAGAACGUCGUGAGACAGUUCGGUCCCUAUCUGCCGUGGGCGUUGGAAGAUUGAAGGGGGCUGCUCCUAGUACGAGAGGACCGGAGUGGACGAACCUCUGGUGUUCGGGUUGUGUCGCCAGACGCAUUGCCCGGUAGCUAAGUUCGGAAUCGAUAACCGCUGAAAGCAUCUAAGCGGGAAGCGAGCCCUGAGAUGAGUCUUCCCUGAUACUUUAAGUAUCCUAAAGGGUUGUCGGAGACUACGACGUUGAUAGGUCAGGUGUGUAAGUGCUGUGAGGCAUUGAGCUAACUGAUACUAAUUGCCCGUGAGGCUUAACCAUACAACACCCAAGGGGUUU
rnacentral:rRNA from 1 species